rnacentral:rRNA from 1 species
GACGAACGCUGGCGGCGUGCUUAACACAUGCAAGUCGAACGGAAAGGCCCUGCUUUUGUGGGGUGCUCGAGUGGCGAACGGGUGAGUAACACGUGAGUAACCUGCCCAUGACUGUGGGAUAACUUCAGGAAACUGGGGCUAAUACCGGAUAGGAGCUCCUGCUGCAUGGUGGGGGUUGGAAAGUUUCGGCGGUUGGGGAUGGACUCGCGGCUUAUCAGCUUGUUGGUGGGGUAGUGGCUUACCAAGGCUUUGACGGGUCGCCGGCCUGAGAGGGUGACCGGCCACAUUGGGACUGAGGUACGGCCCAGACUCCUACGGUAGGCAGCAGUGGGGAAUAUUGCACAAUGGGCGGAAGCCUGAUGCAGCAACGCCGCGUGCGGGAUGCCGGCCUUCGGGUUGUAAACCGCUUUCGCCUGUGACGAAGCGUUAGUGACGGUAAUGGGUAAAGAAGCACCGGCUAACUACGUG